GUCCUUACUUCAGCAGUACAUAUACUAAACUUGGAAUGAUACAGAAAAAAAAGUAGCAUGGCUCCAGUGCAAGGAUGGCACACAAAUUUUUGAAGUGUUACAUACUUUA
ensembl:snRNA U6 U6 spliceosomal RNA